AGCAGCCGCGGUAAUUCCAGCUCCAAUAGCGUAUAUUAAAGUUGUUGCAGUUAAAAAGCUCGUAGUUGAAUUUCGGGAUCAAUAUAUCGGUCGUGCCUUGGUACGUACUGGUAUCAUUGGUUUCUCCUUUCUGACGAACCAUGAUGUCAUUAAUUUGGUGUUAUGGGAAGUUAGGACUGUUACUUUGAAAAAAUUAGAGUGUUUAAAGCAGGCUUUAGCUUGAAUACAUUAGCAUGGAAUAAUGAAAUAGGACGUUUGAUCUUAUUUUGUUGGUUUCUAGGAUCGACGUAAUGAUUAAUAGGGAUAGUUGGGGGCAUUAGUAUUCAAUUGUCAGAGGUGAAAUUCUUAGAUUUAUUGAAGACUAACUACUGCGAAAGCAUUUGCCAAGAAUGUUUUCAUUAAUCAAGAACGAAAGUUAGGGGAUCGAAGACGAUCAGAUACCGUCGUAGUCUUAACCAUAAACUAUGCCGACUAGGGAUCGGAUGAUGUAAUUUUUAAUGACUCAUUCGGCGCCUUACGG
rnacentral:rRNA from 1 species